UACGUACGGUGCAAGCGUUAUCCGGAUUUACUGGGUGUAAAGGGAGCGCAGGCGGCGCGGCAAGUCCGAUGUGAAAACCCCCGGCUCAACCGGGGGACUGCAUUGGAAACUACCGGGCUGGAGUGCCGGAGAGGUAGGCGGAAUUCCUGGUGUAGCGGUGAAAUGCGUAGAUAUCAGGAGGAACACCAGUGGCGAAGGCGGCCUACUGGACGGUGACUGACGCUGAGGCUCGAAAGCGUGGGGAGCAAACAGG
rnacentral:rRNA from 1 species